GAUCAGCAAGCGAUUCAGCAAGCGUGCAAGCAAGAACUAAACGAAGUAUAAUUUUGAAGAAUAAAAAAAGAAAUCAGAAUUUAGAGUUAGAACGGUUCUUUUUUUAAUAAAUUUAUAAUGUGUUAAAACUCCAUAUUUGUUAAAUCAUAUGAGGGUUUCUGCAAGACUUUUUUACACAAAUUUAGGCCUUAAAAUAUAUUAAUUCAGAGGAGAAUGUCUUAAUUUCAUGAAGUCAUUGUAUUAAAUUUUGCAUUUAUAAAAACAAAAACAAAAAACUGCCUUGCUCUUUUAGAUUUGUUUUCCAAUUCAAAUAUCCAAACAUCCUUAAAAUAGAUUUAUUUGAGAUACAAAAUAAAGAUAUGAAGACUUGUUUUCUGAAGAACUGCACAAAGUUAAAUGAGAGGCUAAAACUGAGCACAUCUGUAAUUGUUUUAAUCAUCAUUUUGAUCAGUUUCUCAUAAAAAUUAUUCUCUUGUGUCAUUUUGCUUCUCAAGAAUCUUUGGACAUUUGCACUAGGAAACAUGACAAAGAUACUGAUAAAGUAUACCUCUUUUUACAGGGUGAUCAGAAGCUUUAAAGUUCAAGUAAUGGCGAUCUGUUUAAACCUGAACUUGAAUUGUUGAUAAUAUAAGACAUUUACAAUUGAAAACCAUAUUGAUGUAUUGUUCCAUUCAAUUCAAUUUAUUCCUAUAAGAUUUUCUUUACUUCUUCUUAAAUCCCUCUUAAUUUUACUUUCAUGAAACCUGCAGAAAUCCUGUCAGAUGUUGUGCCCUGAGCAAAACAACUGCUUUAAGAGUCUAUGGGAAGAAUCAGCUCAAAGCUGUUGAAGGUUUGGAUGUGUUGUUGUGUCAGAUGUGGGCGGGCUGAGAGUGCAAAUGUCUCGCCCACUGGGAGGAUCAGCUCUGUGUGAUGUGUUUCAUGGGAAAAACUGCAGUAACACCGCUGUGUGUCUCACAGACAGACAGACUUGACACACUGUGAACAGGGCCAGAUCAGCUGGAUGCGUCAACACCACGAUCAUUUAGCAGCAUGUUUCUUUAGAGACCUGUGGCUUUGGAAAUACAUGAGGUGGAACCAGAACAGAGACGCCUUUCCUGGAUUUGCCAUUGCAUGGGGUCUUUGUCUUUCCACUCAGUCAUAUCCUGAAAGGUAAUACUAUAUGGCUCAGAGAAGCAGACACUCUUUUGUGAGCGGUGAAGUGAGCUGUCUGUUAUAGUUUGACAUGUCUAACAAAGUGAGACACACAGACUAGUGGGAAGCUGUCACCUAUGAUCUGAGAACUGGGAAUGACUUUAUCUUUCUGCUUAAAGGAUGGACAUUCUACAACACUUACACAUUAGUCUCUCUUCCUUCUGUCUGUGUGAGAAUGAUUUGUUAUUUUAUUUAUGGAUAUUUUAUUUAUGGAUGGUUGGACCAGAUAGUGAACCGAUUUAUUUAUAUAUUUUAAUUUAUUUUUAUGGAUGAGCUGGACCAAA